CUAUAUGAAAAAGAAUGAGGAAAGAAAGGUACGUAUGUAUGUAUAUACAUCUGACCAACGUGUAGUCAUUGUUGAUGAUUGCAUGAAGGAGAUGGUGGUUGAAAAAAAACAAAAGGAAGAAGCUUAACUUCAAGGCAAUGGAGACCCUGCAACCAACAACAUCCACAUAUUAGGUGAACACACCAAAACCUGCAAGCCUCAGUGUUCCUUCAUAAACAUAAACUUUGCUCUCAAUUUCACCACUCACUAUUUUUUUGUUGUGUUGUGUCACAUUGUUGUCCCAUUCAUCAGUCACCACCGCCAACAUGGAAGCCAGCGCUGGACUGGUCGCUGGUUCUCACAAUAGGAACGAACUCGUUGUCAU
rnacentral:lncRNA from 1 species